GGAGGGAAAGGAGUAAAGGAGUAAAGGAGAAGAAAGAUGGGAAGGUAGGAGGAAGGAAGGGGGUGGAAGGAAGGGAAGGAGGAAGUGCCUGACAACUAGAGGCAGUGUGUGUGUGGGGGCUCCUCUGGCCGCAGAGAUGCCUUUCCUUUGGCAGAUCCAUCUCACAGAGGUACCUGCCUGAGUCCAUGUAGGGGGGAACCAUAUGCUGGUUCGGGAGUCACCACACCCUCUGGGGCCUGGUUCACCUCUUCUGAGCUUGAGCAGCAAGCAAGUCCUCAGGGCAGGUGCCUGAGGCUAUGCAAGCAGGCGAGCAGGAACAGGUGAAGACCUAGCUGCAAGUAGGCUCAGCCAUGCCCUACUUCAUCUGUGGCUGGGCAGCAUCCAUCUCCUGGCUCUGCACAGGGACAGUCCCCAAGAGUCACUGACCAGUGCUCCUGGAUGACCCAGACAGGCCGCUGCCACAGAUGAAUUCUCUGCUGCCAUCUUUCUCCAGAAAAAUGUUUUCCAGAACUGAGUUGGACCAUUUGUGUGUUCUGGGGCAGCCCUUGUAGCUACCAGGAGGGAACCUAGGGCCCAAUUCGUGGGGACUGGGCUGUUUCUUCUGGGAGUCAAGGGGUUGGUCCUCAAGGUUGGAAGCCCCAUAGCAGAUGGGGGUGCAAACCCAUUUGUCCUGUGCUUAAACUCUUGGCCCUAGAAUUGCCCUGGAGUCUGCAAGGUCCCCAGUCCCCACCCAUGGCUCGCAACCCUCUAUGUCCUCUCCCUCGGUGGGUGUCACCUCAUCAUGGGCCUGGCAAAGGAAAGGGACCCCCCUCUCCUGCUUGCACAUCCCUGUACUCCAGACUGCCUGGAGCCAACCAGAUUGUUUGAGGUUAUGCUUAAGGGCCGUGAGUGAUCCCUGCUCUCCUUCCCUGCCACACAGGUUCCCUGAGCACUAUCACAAAAGCAGCCUUGUGGGGGAGCAGAGCUCAGCCCUCACAGUGCUGUUCAAGAAAUGAAUGUGAAUCUAUGGCUUCAUCCUUUCCCAGGAAACUCCACUGUACGCCCUUGGGGACCCCCAUGUGAGACAGCCCCCUCACUCCCCUGAGCCCCAUCUCUGGGGGCUCAUGGCUGGCAUGGGGCUAUAUGGGCUUUUUUGAGGAACUCAGCCCCAGGCAGCACCCCAAAUCCCACAUUGCAGCCAGGAUAAGCUGAAAGGCCCCAUCUCUGUCUUUUUCAAAAAGCACAAAGGAUAUUUGUAAAACAGAAAAGUCUACUUUUAUUUAUUAUGGUAAUAAACUAUUUUAUAUGGA